GAUGAACGCUGGCGGCGUGCCUAACACAUGCGAGUCGAGCGAACGGACGAGAAGCUCGCGCUUCUGAUGUUAGCGGCGGACGGGUGAGUAACACGUGGAUAACCUACCUAUAAGACUGGGAUAACUUCGGGAAACCGGAGCUAAUACCGGAUAAUAUUUUGAACCGCAGGGAUCAAAAGUGAAAGACGGUCUUGCUGUCACUUAUAGAUGGAUCCGCGCUGCAUUAGCUAGUUGGUAAGGUAACGGCUUACCAAGGCAACGAUGCGUAGCCGACCUGAGAGGGUGAUCGGCCACACUGGAACUGAGACACGGUCCAGACUCCUACGGGAGGCAGCAGUGGGGAAUCUUCCGCAAUGGGCGAAAGCCUGACGGAGCAACGCCGCGUGGGUGAUGAAGGUCUUCGGAUCGUAAAGCUCUGUUAUUAGGAAAGAACAUAUGUGUAAGUAACUGUCCCCAUCUUGACGGUACCUAAUCAGAAAGCCACGGCUAACUACGUG
rnacentral:rRNA from 1 species